CCAGCAGCCGCGGUAAUACGUAGGGUGCAAGCGUUGUCCGGAUUUAUUGGGCGUAAAGAGCUCGUAGGCGGUUAGUCACGUCGGAUGUGAAAACCCAGUGCUUAACACUGGGCCUGCAUUCGAUACGGGCUGACUAGAGUGUUGUAGGGGAGACUGGAACUCCUGGUGUAGCGGUGAAAUGCGCAGAUAUCAGGAAGAACACCGGUGGCGAAGGCGGGUCUCUGGGCAACUACUGACGCUGAGGAGCGAAAGCGUGGGGAGCAAACAGGAUUAGAUACCCUGGUAGUCCACGCCGUAAACGGUGGGCGCUAGGUGUGGGGAACAUUCCACGUUCUCCGUGCCGCAGCUAACGCAUUAAGCGCCCCGCUGGGGAGUACGCGCAAGCUAAACUCAAAGGAAUUGACGGGGCCGCACAAGCGCGAGCAUGCGGCUAAUUCGAUGCAACGCGAAGAACCAUUACUAGGCUUGACAGUUGGGGAAAUCUGGCAGAGAUGCCAGGUCCGUAAGGGCCCCAAAACAGGUGGUGCAUGGCUGUCGUCAGCUCGUGUCGUGAGAUGUUGGGUUAAGUCCCGCAACGAGCGCAACCCUCGUCGUAUGUUGCCAGCGGAUAAUGCCGGGGACUCAUACGAGACUGCCGGGGUCAACUCGGAGGAAGGUGGGGACGACGUCAAGUCAUCAUGCCCCUUAUGUCUAGGGCUGCACGCAUGCUACAAUGGCCGGUACAGAGGGCUGCGAAACCGCGAGGUGGAGCGAAUCCCAAAAAGCCGGUCUCGGUUCGGAUUGGGGUCUGCAACUCGACCCCAUGAAGUCGGAGUCGCUAGUAAUCGCAGAUCAGCAACGCUGCGGUGAAUACGUUCCCGGGCCUUGUACACACCGCCCGUCACGUCACGAAAGUCGGCAACACCCGAAGCCGGUGGCCUAACCCUUGUGGGAGGAGCCGUCGAAGGUGGGGCUGGUGAUUGGGACGAAGUCGUAACAAGGUAGCCGAU
rnacentral:rRNA from 1 species